UUUUAAUGAGAGUUUGAUCCUGGCUCAGGACGAACGCUGGCGGCGUGCCUAAUACAUGCAAGUAGAACGCUGAAGGAGGAGCUUGCUUCUCUGGAUGAGUUGCGAACGGGUGAGUA
rnacentral:rRNA from 1 species